rnacentral:rRNA from 1 species
UAGUAGCGGCGAGUGAAGCGGGAAGAGCUCAAAUUUGUAAUCUGGCGUCUUUCAGGCGUCCGAGUUGUAAUCUAUAGAAGUGUUUUCCGUGCUGGACCAUGUCCAAGUCCCUUGGAACAGGGUAUCAAAGAGGGUGACAAUCCCGUACUUGAUAUGGCCACCAGUGCUCUGUGAUACACUUUCUACGAGUCGAGUUGUUUGGGAAUGCAGCUCAAAAUGGGUGGUAAAUUCCAUCUAAAGCUAAAUAUUGGCGAGAGACCGAUAGCGAACAAGUACCGUGAGGGAAAGAUGAAAAGCACUUUGGAAAGAGAGUUAAACAGUACGUGAAAUUGUUGAAAGGGAAACGAUUGAAGUCAGUCGUGUUCAUUGGACUCAGCCGGUUCUUCCGGUCUAUUUCCUUUGAACGGGUCAACAUCAGUUUUGUCCGGUGGAUAAAGGCAGAGAGAAAGUGGCUCCCUCGGGAGUGUUAUAGCUUUUUGUCACAUACACUGGAGGAGACUGAGGACUGCAGCUCGCCUUUUGGCCGGGGUUCGCCCACGUUCGAGCUUAGGAUGUUGACAUAAUGGCUUUAAACGACCCGUCUUGAACCAACGG